AGUGAACGCUGGCGGUAGGCCUAACACAUGCAAGUCGAACGGCAGCACAGGAGAGCUUGCUCUCUGGGUGGCGAGAGGCGGACGGGUGAGGAAUACAUCGGAAUCUGCCCAGUCGUGGGGGAUAACGUAGGGAAACUUACGCUAAUACCGCAUACGACCUUCGGGUGAAAGAGGGGGAUCGCAAGACCUCUCGCGAUUGGAUGAGCCGAUGUCGGAUUAGCUAGUUGGCGGGGUAAUGGCCCACCAAGGCGACGAUCUGUAGCUGGUCUGAGAGGAUGAUCAGCCACACUGGAACUGAGACACGGUCCAGACUCCUACGGGAGGCAGCAGUGGGGAAUAUUGGACAAUGGGCGCAAGCCUGAUCCAGCCAUACCGCGUGGGUGAAGAAGGCCUUCGGGUUGUAAAGCCCUUUUGUUGGGAAAGAAAUCUUUCAGGCUAAUACCCUGGGAGGAUGACGGUACCCAAAGAAUAAGCACCGGCUAACUUCGUG
rnacentral:rRNA from 1 species